rnacentral:tRNA from 1 species
GAGGCUAUAGCUCAGUGGUAGAGUGCAUGCUUAGCAUACACAGGGUCCUAGGUUCAAUUCCCAGUACCUCCA